UACGUAGGGGGCAAGCGUUGUCCGGAAUUAUUGGGCGUAAAGAGCUCGUAGGCGGCCUGUUGCGUCCGCUGUGAAAUCCCGGGGCUCAACCCCGGGCCUGCAGUGGAUACGGGCUGGCUAGAGGCAGGCAGGGGAGAACGGAAUUCCCGGUGUAGCGGUGAAGUGCGUAGAGAUCGGGAGGAACACCCGUGGCGAAGGCGGCCAUCUGGACCAGCACUGACGCUGAGGCACGAAAGCGUGGGGAGCAAACAGG
rnacentral:rRNA from 1 species